rnacentral:rRNA from 1 species
UACGUAGGGGGCGAGCGUUGUCCGGAUUUAUUGGGCGUAAAGAGCUCGUAGGCGGUUUGGUAAGUCGGGUGUGAAAACCCCAGGCUCAACCUGGGGACGCCACCUGAUACUGCUAUGACUUGAGUCUGGUAGGGGAUCACGGAAUUCCUGGUGUAGCGGUGAAAUGCGCAGAUAUCAGGAAGAACACCCGUGGCGAAAGCGGCUCUCUGGAACGGUACUGACGCUGAGACGCGAAAGCGUGGGGAGCGAACAGG